GCCGUCGGUGACGUGACGGAGGCAGGCGAGCAGCUCCAACAUGCCGACGCACCCGAUCAGUAUCGACAUCAUUAAGCCCAUUUCGAAAAGCGUUCUUGGAUUUUCCAAUGAAAAACGAUAGACUAUGUUACGUCACGAACUCGACACGUCAAAUACCCAUACAGUUGGCGGUGCUUCAUCCUAUCGUUCUUUUCUGCGAGCUCGUCGCUCUUCGGGAGCAUAGAAGGUACCGCUCCAGGAUGAUCUACAAGAGAAGUCCUCUCGGAAACAUAUAUCGGAAUUCCUCGAUCUCGGAGGACGAAGGGAAUCUCGGUGGUGUGCGUGCUACAUCCAUAAGAUAUCCUCGGGAUCUCGACCGAACUCUUGGUGUCACUCGGGUAAUCCUCUGGGCUGACGUCACACACCCGGGGGACGAAAGAGAGGAAAGAGACGAGACGAGAAGUUAAAACGACUUCCUAGGGGGGGCACCCACCACCCACGCGCACCCACUGGUCCACAACGGUGGCGUAGCCCGUUUUGCAGGCUGAAAGGCGUCGCGGGCCCUGACCGAGCGGCACGUACUCGAGGAGGCGGUGAUCACGCGAUUAUCGGCUUAUCCAUGCGGCCGGAUGGCGGCCAGAGAACUGUUUUAUUUUCCGUGGGCAAACCGUUCGGACCCGGGGUAAACUAGUGGCCGUUCGGCUCGUUAUGUCGACGUAACGUUCGACUUGAGGAGCGAACCGUGGCUAAGGCUAAAGUUAGCUCGAAUGUCCCUGGACGCGAAUCUCUGUCCUUAAUGCAGCGUACGCGUCGCGAUCGAUCACUUGCUCGAGAUAAUUAACGGAGCCCGAUUUGGCAGUCGCCGCGUGCGACGUCCGAUCAUCGGUCGCGCGAUUAAUUGCGAUCGAUGCCGAGCUCUAAUGAGCCAAUCCGUUAACCAUCGUUCCUCGUCGUGUUCGGAAACGUUGGCGCGGGGGCGUCGUUUCGAUAUCUGUACGACGUCGCGACGAGAGAACGAGAGUUUGGCACCUUCGGUCGCGAUCGUUUCGCAAAAACGAACGAUUCGCCGCUUGCAACUUGAUUCGCGUCCAAGCGCAUCUUUAAAAUCGAUCAUACGGCAACUAGCACGGUCAGUGCGAGCUCUAGUCGCCGUUCUUUUCGUUUGCAUCGUCCCAUCUUUCGUCGCGAAACUUUCGAGCGAGAGAAAGUUUCCAGGAUUCAAGUUCAAUUGCGGCGUGACCUUUGAUCCGUUACGUCGAUCAAUUAACCCAAUCCCAUUCAUCCUUGCGCGCGCUCUCUCUCUCUCUAUGUUCGUUCGAACUCGACGGAGCUCCGGCGUGGAAAUUCCGGCUUGUUUACGUGGCCGAGAUGCGCGGCCGAAUUUCUGGCGUUACUCGGACGACUUUAUUUCGGUUACCUCAUCGGUUACGAAUCAACGAGUCGAGCCGAUCUUCGAUACACGUUUUGCGCGCGGUACGUCUCUCUGGCGCACAUCCAAACAGAUAUCGAAACACCCAGCGUCCAGCUUAUCGAACUCUCGAUGAUCUAUAUUUGCGCCGUACCGCAACACUGUCCGA